GGCGACGGGUGAGUAACACGUGGAUAACCUGCCCACAACUUUGGGAUAACGCUAGGAAACUGGUGCUAAUACUGGAUAUGUGCUCCUGCUGCAUGGUGGGGGUUGGAAAGCUCCGGCGGUUGUGGAUGGACUCGCGGCCUAUCAGCUUGUUGGUGGGGUAGUGGCCUACCAAGGCGGCGACGGGUAGCCGGCCUGAGAGGGUGACCGGCCACAUUGGGACUGAGAUACGGCCCAG
rnacentral:rRNA from 1 species